GAUGAACGCUAGCUACAGGCUUAACACAUGCAAGUCGAGGGGAAACGAUAGAGAAAGCUUGCUUUUUCUAGGCGUCGACCGGCGCACGGGUGAGUAACGCGUAUCCAACCUGCCCACCACUUGGGGAUAACCUUGCGAAAGUAAGACUAAUACCCAAUGACGUCUCUAGAAGACAUCUGAAAGAGAUUAAAGAUUUAUCGGUGAUGGAUGGGGAUGCGUCUGAUUAGCUUGUUGGCGGGGUAACGGCCCACCAAGGCGACGAUCAGUAGGGGUUCUGAGAGGAAGGUCCCCCACAUUGGAACUGAGACACGGUCCAAAACUCCUACGGGAGGCAGCAGUGAGGAAUAUUGGUCAAUGGACCGAGAGUCUGAACCAGCCAAGUAGCGUGCAGGAUGACGGCCCUAUGGGUUGUAAACUGCUUUUANAAGGGAUAAAGUUGGCCAUGUAUGGCCAUUUGCAGGUACCUUAUGAAUAAGCAUCGGCUAAUUCCGUGCCAGCAG
rnacentral:rRNA from 1 species